AUAAAUAUACCCUCUAGUUAGUUGAGAGGAACACAUUCAAGAAUAUCAUUCAAAACUUACAUUUAUUUUGUAUAAACAGAAUGGGGCUUCAGUCCCUUUGUGGCAGAGUCCUUCUGGGACUGUCCCUGUCUUUACUACUCUCUACUUUCUGCAUUGCUGAUGACAACACAAUUAAGGUGGUUGGUUUUGGAGAAUGUGCUGACUGCAAGGAGAAUAAUAUUAACACUAUUCAUGCUCUAUCAGGUUCUCUCUAAUUUCAUUUCAAUGCAUGUCAUGUUAUCUGUCUUACUAUUUCACAGUAUCAGAAAAAGAAUAGCAUGUAUACAAGUAACCUGAUUUUGACAUUCUUAACAUAACAAGUUGAUAUUUUUGGACACCCUUUAAAAAAUCUCUGACUCUGCGUCUCUGCCACUGAGUAGAUUUCCAUAACAUUGUUAUAUUAUUGGUUUCAGGACUUCAUGUAAGCAUUGACUGCAAGCUUGCAAAUGGAGAAAUCAAAACAAGGGGAGAAGGAGAGCUUGACCAAGAUGGCAAGUUUGAAGUGUCACUUCCGAAGGAGAUGAUGAAAGAUGGCAAGCUGAAAGAGGAAUGCUAUGCGCAGUUACAUAGUGCAUCAUCUGCACCAUGUCCAGCACACAAUGGCAUUGAAUCAUCCAAGAUUGUUAGUAUUAAAACUGAUGGCAAAAAUACAUUGAAAACAGCUGGAAAUCUUAAGUUCUCAACACCCUUGUGCACUUCUGCUUUCUUGUGGCCUUACUUUAAGUACCCACAGUUGCCACCUUUCCCAAAAGAUCAUUCUUGGAUGAAGAAGUUCCCUAAGUUGCCACCAUUUCCACCAAUGCCACCAUUGGGACACCCUUUUCCUCUUCCACCUAUUCCUCCCUUUUUUAAAAAGCCAUGUCCCCCACCGCUAGAAAAGCCACUUCCUCCUCCAGUUCCCGUUUACAACCCAACACCAAAGCCCACACCAGUAGUUAAGCCACUUCCUCCUCCCGUUCCUGUUUACAAACCAAAACCAAAGCCUCCUCCCGUUCCUGUUUACAAACCAAAACCAAAGCCUCCUCCAGUUCCUGUUUACAAACCAAAACCAAAGCCUCCUCCAGUUCCUGUCUACAAGCCCAAACCAGAGCCUCCAGUUAAAAAGCCAUGUCCCCCUUCAGUUCCAAAACCAAAGCCUCCACCAGUUAAAAAACCAUGCCCUCCUAAAGUUCCAACUCACAAACCCAAGCCUAAACCAGAGCCACCAGUAGUAAAGCCACUUCCUCCUCCAGUUCCAGUUUACAAACCACCAGUAGUGAAGCCACUUCCUCCUCCAGUUCCAGUUUACAAACCACCAGUAGUGAAGCCACUUCCUCCACCAGUUCCAAUUUACAAAAAGCCAUGCCCACCACUUCCACCACUGCCACCAAUAGUGAAGCCACUUCCUCCUCCGGUUCCAAUUUACGUGCCACCCAUAGUAAAACCCCUGCCACCACCUGUUCCAAUUUACAAAAAGCCAUGCCCACCACUUCCACCAUUCCCUAAAAUUCCUCCAUUCCACCAUCCUCUAUUCCCACCACUCCCACCUAAGAUCCCUCACUCAUAGACCAAAACAUUAAAUUCAACAGUUCCUUUUGGGUGUAUGUAGCCAUGAAAAUUAUUUGCAUUUUAAUGAAUAAAAUCAACAUUCAAGAGAUAUAAUGCUUGAGAAUGUCAAACAUAAGAGAUCAGAGAAAUAGGAAAGUUAUUUGGGGUGGGGAGUUUGGUUUGCUUUGUUAAUUAGUUUUCAUGCAAAUGUUUGUAUAUCAAUCAUGGUCCAGAGGGUGAUGUUGUAUACGUUUGAGAACGGAUCUUUUAAAUUUUUCUUGUAAUGUUAUUGUUUAUUCUCAUUCAUAGAAGCUACUCAUCGUUGUACUGCUCCUUUCUAAUGCUACAAAGUUAAUUAAUAAUGUCAGAAUUUAUUAGGAUACUUAUUAGAAUAUAAUAAUCUAUAAUUUUCAGUGAUCACUGGCGAUUGAUAGAGAUCGAUGAUACAUUUCUAUCAAUCUUUAUCAUAAUUCAUAAUCAUAGUUGGCUUAUAUGCUCAUUUACGGUUCCAUUAAUUAUAUAGUAGCAGAUUCCACGGCUACCGACAAAUCCCAGUAAAUGCUAUCUACCUACUUGUUGUGUAGAUAAAACAAUCAAUCUUCCUAUAAUUAGCGAUCCAUGAUUAAGCAAUUAACACACAAUUAUUCAUUUCCUAUGGUAGCUAUUCCUAAUUUAUUCCAUUCAAUUUGUCCAGCUAUUUAAACCAGUGCCACACUUGACUUAAAAAGUUUUAAUUAAGUUGAGAAUAAUACAGAUAAAUUGUACUGUACUGAUGAGAAAAAUACAUUACAAGGCCGUUUAUAAUUAUUGAAAUAUUUGUUCAAACUUUGAAAAAAAACUUAUUCAUGUUAUUAGUUUGACUCAUUUCUGUCAGAAUUACUUUUUACACCUAGUCAAUUAUGAUUCAACCAUAUUGUUAAUUAAAUUAUUUUUUAAAAGAGAAAAAACUUAAAUAUGUUAUCAAUCAAAAAUUGAUAUAAAUAAGUCAUUUUUGUAACGAAUGACAUAAAUAAUUAUUUUUCUCGUAGGAUUAUAACCUCAGCUCAAGUAACAACAAUUCAAAGCAGAUGGAUGGAAAAAAAAAAGGGAAGUGGAGAAGCAUGGGAAUUCAUGCACAAAUUAAGAAGAGAGCUUUACCAGAAAAAGAGACAUGUUCAGAUGCCCAAAAUAAUGGGCCUGUAGAUAUCGCACAGAAAAAACAUGGGCUUGUGGAUAUUGCCACCUUAAAAACGGCCCAUUAGCAUCAGUGACGCAUAUAUCACGUGAUUAGCCAUAUCUCUAACUAACUAUGGUAACUUUUUCACCAACCAGGGUGACUUUUAACUCAAGUCCGUCCUCUACCAGACUCUCCAAGAUCCCGACACCUGUCCAAUCAAACGGUGGUGAUUAUUCUUUCAUAAGUUAUCCGUGUUCACAUUUUCCUAUAUAAUAUUCCGUCUCGCUUAAACCCUAAGCACAAAUCGUACCAUCUUGUAAGUUUGAGAAACGUCUAGUCUAGAGAGAAAUGGCAAAUCCAAAGGUUUUCUUUGACCUUACCAUCGGUGGUGCACCAGCUGGUCGUGUGGUGAUGGAGCUCUUCGCCGAUACCACUCCCAAAACCGCUGAGAACUUCCGAGCUCUUUGUACCGGUGAGAAAGGUGUUGGAAAGAUGGGGAAGCCUUUGCACUACAAGGGCUCAACCUUCCACCGUGUGAUCCCAGGGUUCAUGUGUCAAGGAGGUGAUUUCACCGCCGGAAACGGGACCGGAGGAGAGUCGAUCUAUGGAGCCAAAUUCAACGAUGAGAACUUCGUUAAGAAGCACACCGGCCCUGGAAUCCUCUCCAUGGCUAAUGCUGGACCUGGAACCAACGGUUCUCAGUUUUUCAUCUGUACCGCUAAGACUGAGUGGCUCAACGGAAAGCACGUCGUGUUUGGACAAGUUGUUGAAGGCAUGGAUGUGAUUAAGAAGGCAGAGGCUGUUGGAUCUAGCUCUGGAAGGUGCUCCAAGCCUGUGGUUAUUGCUGACUGCGGUCAACUCUAGAUCUGAUGAUGAUGAUGAUCUAGUUUUAUCAGUCUUUUAUGUAUUUGAGUCGCCGUUUUAGGCUUUGUUUUUAAUUUCAAACUAUCUCU
rnacentral:lncRNA from 1 species